CAGAAAACGGGGGCCCUGUGCUGGUGUUAGUCCUCAGAUGUAGAAAUUCCUUCUGAAUUUUGCAGCCCCUAACUCUUCCCAUCCUGCUGCAGAGGAGCCUUGCCACGUUGGUGUAUGUUAAAAGGAUAUGCACUGCAGGAAAAAAAUCUUACUGAUUUGGACGGAAUGAUCCAAUGUUAUUCCCUGAAGAUUCCAGGUUGAGGCGGGAAGAAGGUAAAGCAUAGGAAGUUAUGUUGCAGCUUUAUAAAUUUUGAGUUGGGCCGCAUCUGGAGUAUUGCAUACGGCUCUGGUUGCCCCAUUAUAGGAAGGAUUUUGAGGCUUUGGAGAGGGUGCAGAAGAGGUUCACCUGGAUGUCGCCUGGAGUAGAGGUCAUGUGCUACAAUAUUUUCAGUAUCUGCAAUGUUUUGAUUUUCAUUCAGGGAUGAGAAGAAAUGCCUUAUAGAGCAGAAUUGUUGCUCCUUGACAGUGAGCUGGUAAAAGGAGUGCUGGGUUGAAGUCAAUUGAAGAGGGCAAAUUGAGGACAUUGAAGUAAUAUGCACACCAGAAUGUAGGAAAUGUGCCAUUAUGCUCACCCAUCUGGAUCUAAGAAGAUCUCUAAAGUGCUUGCAGCCAGCGACAUGGGACCUCACUCCAGCUGCUAAUCUUCAGCAGUGUCUUCUUGU